rnacentral:lncRNA from 13 species
CUGCUUCCAUCACGCAAAGGGCAGCGUUUUGUUUUUACUGGAAAAAAACACUUAUUCUGGCUACUAAUCUACCUUCCCUGCAUGCAAUGCUUCUGCCAAAGUUACCAUCCAUGAACUUAUAUAAAAUUACAGAAUAUCUUAUCCAUGGUCAUGAUAUUUGAGACAGCACUGCUUCUGAUUAAGGAAAUCAUUUCAUAGCCAAAAAAAAAAAAAAAAAGUGUGGCAAUGGGUCCAUACUUAUAAGAUUCACUGGUCUUACCACUGAAUGGUCAACCAUCCUGAAGCACAGCUGGUUUGACAGAACAAUGGAAUGACUUUUUGAAGACUCAGUGACAGUGCCAGCUAGGUAACAAUACCUUGCAGGCCUGGCACAAGGGUCUCCAAAAGGCUCUGUAUGCUCUGAAUUAGUGUUCCACCUAUGGUUCUCUUUCUCCAGUAGCCAGAAUUCAUAAGCCCAGCAAUCAAGGGGUAGAACUGGAAGUGGCACCAUUUGCUAUUACUUCUAAUGACCCACUAGCAAAACGUUUGCUUCCUGUUCCUGCAAAUGUAUGCUGUGUUGGCCUAGAGGUCUUGGUCCCAAAGGAAGGAAUGCUUCUACCAGAAGACAAAACAGUGACUCCAUGGGACCAGAAGACUGCCUCCCAACCAUUUGGGUUCCCUAUGCCUCCGAAUCAGCAGGCAAAGAAAAGAGUUACUGCACCAGUAGGGAUGAUUUAUCCUGACUACAAAAGAGAAAUUGAACUAUUUAUCCACAAUGGAGAGCAAGGACCUGGGAAGCAAGCUGGAGCUCAGGCUACAGAUAUGCUAGCCUGAGGCUGUGGUCUUUGUAAGGCCAGAUCACCACUUCAGAAGAUCAGUGAAAGCCACAACAAUGGCACAUUAAAAUAAUAAUAAUAAUUUGAUUGAGUAAAUAUUUCACUCUUGAGGCAACCGUCUUAAAUGUACAGCUUAAGAACUAAAAAAUUUGGCAGGUGGAGAGGGGAUGGCUGGGUAGCUCACACCUAUAAUACCAGCACUUUGGAAGUCUGAGGCUGGUGGAUCACUUGAGUCCAAGAAGCUCAAGACCAGCCUGGGUGCCAGGAAGAAACCUCAUCUCUACCAAACUACAGCAAUUAUCUGGGCAUGGUGGUGUAUAUCUGUAGUCCUAGCUAUUGGAAGGCUGAGGCGGGAAGAUCACUUAGCCCAGGAGGCAGAGGCAAGAUUGCACCACUGCAUUCUAGCUUGGACAACAGAGGUAGAUCCCAUCUCAAAAAAAAAGAAGAAGAACUGAUAAAUUUAUGCUCUUACUC